rnacentral:tRNA from 1 species
UCGGAUCGUUUUAGAAACAUUCAGGGGCCAACAGUUUCAGGAUUGUUGAGCUCCAUUGGCGGGAUUUCGCCGUCUUCGUUUCUCUUUCUUCGCGGACGAACACGCGCCAGGGGCUGAGCGCUGUGCGAUGCAUCGACUUCACGUCAGGUGCGCGCCGGCAUGUCUCUCGUGUUAGGGGCUUGUAGCUCAGUUGGUUAGAGCGCGCGCUUGAUAAGCGUGAGGUCGGAAGUUCAAGUCUUCCCAGGCCCACCACGCUUCGCCGUCGGCUACGCGUGGCGCUGCCACGCAGGAGACGAAGCGAAGCGUGCCCGGCAUAGCCCGAAGGGCGACGACGGGCCUAGCUAGGCAUUCGUCUUCUGGUACGGGGCCAUAGCUCAGCUGGGAGAGCGCGUGCUUUGCAAGCAUGAGGUCGUCGGUUCGAUCCCGUCUGGCUCCACCAGAUGGAAUUGAAGCUCGAGAAUGCGCCUUGUGCAGCUAGCUCUGUUCAUUUCGUCCGCGAAACAUCACUUCGCACUCAUUGGUCCGGAUGGACGGUGACGUGCGUGUUUUCUGACAUCGUAAAGAGGAGAUCGAUCCGAGUUUGGAUCCAGCGAAGCAAUUCGCGGGUACCAUUCCUAAUCUCCAGAUCGUUUUCGGCGCUCGCGCAUCGCAGCUUAUCGCAAGAUGAGUGAGGUGAGCGAGUUGUAAAACGAUCUUUGUAGCGAAGCUUGACCGCCUCGCUAUCGGGCCGAUCUUACGAAGCAAGCUGGUCUUUCUAGUCAAUGUCCGGCUGUGCAAUCGCAUCUUCGAGGGUGCGUGCCUGAGACCCCGGUCUUUUGGGCAGUUGCGCAGACAACAUUCUGCCCGAGUGUGUGGACAUUGAUAAUGAGAGCAAUCAAGUGCCUUAAGGGGUGUUCGGGUGGAUGCCUUGGCGCUGAGAGGCGAUUAAAGGACGUGCUACGCUGCGAUAAGCCGUGGGG